CGGACCAAGACCUAAUUAUUCUAAAGCCAUUACUUAUUAUUUCACGUUACCUUAUUUUUUUAUAAUUGUUUUAACUUUACCAGUACUCGUGUGUCCGUUCAACUCCGCCAUUAUCUGGACUAACUACAGAGAACGCUUUAGGAUCCAGGUGAUACACCAGUUCAGUUUUUUGCGGUCAUGCGGCAUAACAUGACAGUGCCAUCGGACGACUUUCUUAAUGAAUGGACACGUUAUAAUGUUUAUAAAUACAAAAUUACCGCAAGAGCACAAAUGUGCUGGCAUGAUAUUAACUCCAUUCGAAGUUGGCGUUGGUAUAUCAAAGAUUACCACAGAAAUAGCAAAGACAAUGUUUACCGUUAUCGAAUAGAAGACAUAGCUAACCGCAUUCGGAGAGCUUUUCCAAACUUAUUUAGCAAACCGUUCAAUUCUGCAAACUAUAAGGUAUCGUCAAGGCCAGAGCAAAUUUGCAAGGAUACUGCAGAAAUGUUUUUGCAAGGUCUUUUUAAAAACAAUAGCAUUACCAGCGUACCCGAAUGGGAGCAUAGUAAUCUGUUAUUAAUGAUGGAUAAACUGAAUACAUAUGAUUCGGAAGAUAUUGCUGAAUCUGAAAAAUUCAAAAAAAGUGACGACAUAAAAAAUGUUUUAAAAAGGGUUGCAAUCAAAAUGGGGCUUGAACCUGGAGCA